AUUGAACGCUGGCGGCAUGCCUUACACAUGCAAGUCGAACGGUAACAGGUCUUCGGAUGCUGACGAGUGGCGAACGGGUGAGUAAUACAUCGGAACGUGCCUAGUAGUGGGGGAUAACUACUCGAAAGAGUGGCUAAUACCGCAUGAGAUCUACGGAUGAAAGCAGGGGAUCGCAAGACCUUGUGCUACUAGAGCGGCCGAUGGCAGAUUAGGUAGGUGGUGGGAUAAAAGCUUACCAAGCCGACGAUCUGUAGCUGGUCUGAGAGGACGAUCAGCCACACUGGGAAUGAGAAACGGCCCAGACUCCUACGGGAGGCAGCAGUGGGGAAUUUUGGACAAUGGGCGCAAGCCUGAUCCAGCAAUGCCGCGUGCAGGAUGAAGGCCUUCGGGUUGUAAACUGCUUUUGUACGGAACGAAAAGCCCCGGGUUAAUACCCUGGGGUCAUGACGGUACCGUAAGAAUAAGCACCGGCUAACUACGUGCCAGCCGCCGCCGUAA
rnacentral:rRNA from 1 species